rnacentral:rRNA from 1 species
UACGUAGGGGGCAAGCGUUGUCCGGAAUCAUUGGGCGUAAAGAGCGCGUAGGCGGCCCAGUAAGUCCGCUCUGAAAGUCAGGGGCUCAACCCCUGAAUGCGGGUGGAUACUGCUGGGCUAGAGUCCGGAAGAGGCGAGUGGAAUUCCUGGUGUAGCGGUGAAAUGCGCAGAUAUCGAGAGGAACACCUGCGGCGAAGGCGGGUUGCUGGGCUGACACUGACGCUGAUGCGCGAAAGCCAGGGGAGCGAACGGG